rnacentral:tRNA from 1 species
AGUUAAUGAACUUGAAUAAGUAUAUGUUUUGAAAACAUAAAAUAGUGAAAUAAUCCACUAUUAACUU